GUCGAACGCCUCUUUUUCCACCGGAGCUUGCUCCAUCGGAAAAAGAGGAGUGGCGAACGGGUGAGUAACACGUGGGUAACCUGCCCAUCAGAAGGGGAUAACACUUGGAAACAGGUGCUAAUACCGUAUAACAAUCGAAACCGCAUGGUUUUGAUUUGAAAGGCGCUUUCGGGUGUCGCUGAUGGAUGGACCCGCGGUGCAUUAGCUAGUUGGUGAGGUAACGGCUCACCAAGGCGACGAUGCAUAGCCGACCUGAGAGGGUGAUCGGCCACAUUGGGACUGAGACACGGCCCAAACUCCUACGGGAGGCAGCAGUAGGGAAUCUUCGGCAAUGGACGAAAGUCUGACCGAGCAACGCCGCGUGAGUGAAGAAGGUUUUCGGAUCGUAAAACUCUGUUGUUAGAGAAGAACAACGGAUGAGAGUAACUGUUCAUCCCUUGACCGGUAUCUAACCAGGAAAGCCACGGCUAAAUUACGUGCCAGCAGCCGGCGGUAAUACGUAGGUGGCAAGCGUUGUCCGGGAUUUAUUGGGCGUAAAGCGAGCGCAGGCGGUUUCUUAAGUCUGAUGUGAAAGCCCCCGGCUCAACCGGGGAGGGUCAUUGGAAACUGGGAGACUUGAGUGCAGAAGAGGAGAGUGGAAUUCCAUGUGUAGCGGUGAAAUGCGUAGAUAUAUGGAGGAACACCAGUGGCGAAGGCGGCUCUCUGGUCUGUAACUGACGCUGAGGCUCGAAAGCGUGGGGAGCAAACAGGAUUAGAUACCCUGGUAGUCCACGCCGUAAACGAUGAGUGCUAAGUGUUGGAGGGUUUCCGCCCUUCAGUGCUGCAGCUAACGCAUUAAGCACUCCGCCUGGGGAGUACGACCGCAAGGUUGAAACUCAAAGGAAUUGACGGGGGCCCGCACAAGCGGUGGAGCAUGUGGUUUAAUUCGAAGCAACGCGAAGAACCUUACCAGGUCUUGACAUCCUUUGACCACUCUAGAGAUAGAGCUUCCCCUUCGGGGGCAAAGUGACAGGUGGUGCAUGGUUGUCGUCAGCUCGUGUCGUGAGAUGUUGGGUUAAGUCCCGCAACGAGCGCAACCCUUAUUGUUAGUUGCCAUCAUUUAGUUGGGCACUCUAGCAAGACUGCCGGUGACAAACCGGAGGAAGGUGGGGAUGACGUCAAAUCAUCAUGCCCCUUAUGACCUGGGCUACACACGUGCUACAAUGGGAAGUACAACGAGUCGCAAAGUCGCGAGGCUAAGCUAAUCUCUUAAAGCUUCUCUCAGUUCGGAUUGUAGGCUGCAACUCGCCUACAUGAAGCCGGAAUCGCUAGUAAUCGCGGAUCAGCACGCCGCGGUGAAUACGUUCCCGGGCCUUGUACACACCGCCCGUCACACCACGAGAGUUUGUAACACCCGAAGUCGGUGAGGUAACCU
rnacentral:rRNA from 1 species